UACGGGGGGAGCAAGCGUUGUUCGGAUUUACUGGGCGUAAAGGGCGCGUAGGCGGUCAGUGCAAGUCAGUUGUGAAAUCUCUGGGCUUAACUCAGAACGGUCAACUGAUACUGCUCGACUAGAGUGCAGAAGGGGCAACUGGAAUUCUCGGUGUAGCGGUGAAAUGCGUAGAUAUCGAGAGGAACACCUGCGGCGAAGGCGGGUUGCUGGGCUGACACUGACGCUGAGGCGCGAAAGCUAGGGGAGCGAACGGG
rnacentral:rRNA from 1 species